CCCUGCCGCUGUCUCUAAAGCAGGGCCUGGCCUUGGCAGGCCCCCGCACAUCUGUCUCUGGCCCCACCGCUGGAGUCUCUCAGUUCCCGGAGGAUCCGAAGGUGGAGAGCAGGGAGCAGUGUGGACCGUCCCUGAAGGGCCUUAGGUUAGUGUCUACCCAGUUUCCUUCACUGAAUGUGCAGAAGAGAAGAAAACAAUGCCUUCACCAGUCCCAGGAGUUCACACAUUUUAUUCAGCAGACAUUUCCGAGAACCUAUUUUGUGAACAUACAGUCUACCUUGGGUUAAAUGUCAUCUUUAUGACCAUAAUUACUUCAUAUGUGCUGCAUAACCAGACCAGAAUAAUACUACUGAGCUCAAAGAAAGGUAUCAAAAAGUACAAUGUAGGGAAAAUGUCAGAAGAGACAUCUUUUCUCCUCUGGGUGUUGAGAAAUAGCAUAAAUUGGUUUUAUGAUAUUCCAUAUUACUGCUGCCAGUAGGGAAGGCUCUUAUACAGAUUUGAAAAUGAAGUCUGUUUUAUGCAGGGCAGAGUGAAUAGAUGGAGGGAUUGGGUUUUGAUAAUAGACAUUUUUAUUGUUAAAUCCAA
rnacentral:lncRNA from 1 species